rnacentral:tRNA from 1 species
GCGCCCGUAACUCAGAGGCAGAGUCUCCGCGUCCUAAGCGGUUGGUCGUAGGUUCGAUUCCUAUCGGGCGCC